ACUCCUACGGGAGGCAGCAGUGGGGAAUAUUGGACAAUGGGGGCAACCCUGAUCCAGCAAUACCGCGUGUGUGAAGAAGGCCUGAGGGUUGUAAAGCACUUUCAGCGAGGAGGAAGUUAAUAUAGUUAAUAGCUAUGUUGAUUGACGUUACUCGCAGAAGAAGCACCGGCUAACUCUGUGCCAGCAGCCGCGGUAAUACAGAGGGUGCAAGCGUUAAUCGGAAUUACUGGGCGUAAAGCGUGCGUAGGCGGAUAUUUAAGUCAGAUGUGAAAGCCCCGGGCUCAACCUGGGAAUUGCAUCUGAUACUGGGUAUCUAGAGUAUGGUAGAGGAUAGUGGAAUUUCUGGUGUAGCGGUGAAAUGCGUAGAUAUCAGAAGGAACAUCAGUGGCGAAGGCGACUGUCUGGGCCAAUACUGACGCUGAGGUACGAAAGCGUGGGUAGCGAACAGGAUUAGAUACCCUGGUAGCGAGUAG
rnacentral:rRNA from 1 species